AGUCUAUCAGACAGUAUUAUAUUAUAAUAUUCCAUGUAUCCAGUCUAUCAGUCAGUAUUAUAUUAUAAUGUUCCAGGUAUCCAGUCUAUCAGACAGUAUUAUGAUGUUCCAGGUAUCCAGUCUAUCAGACAGUAUUAUAUUAUAAUGUUCCAGGUAUCCAGUCUAUCAGACAGUAUUAUAAUGUUCCAGGUAUCCAGUCUAUCAGACAGUAUUAUGAUGUUCCAGGUAUCCAGUCUAUCAGUCAGUAUUAUUUUAUAAUGUUCCAGGUAUCCAGUCUAUCAGGCAGUAUUAUAUUAUAAUGUUCCAGGUAUCCAGUCUAUCAGACAGUAUUAUGAUGUUCCAGGUAUCCAGUCUAUCAGACAGUAUUAUGAUGUUCCAGGUAUCCAGUCUAUCAGUCAGUAUUAUUUUAUAAUGUUCCAGGUAUCCAGUCUAUCAGGCAGUAUUAUAUUAUAAUGUUCCAGGUAUCCAGUCUAUCAGACAGUAUUAUAAUGUUCCAGGUAUCCAGUCUAUCAGACAGUAUUAUGAUGUUCCAGGUAUCCAGUCUAUCAGACAGUAUUAUAUUAUAAUGUUCCAGGUAUCCAGUCUAUCAGACAGUAUUAUAAUGUUCCAGGUAUCCAGUCUAUCAGACAGUAUUAUGAUGUUCCAGGUAUCCAGUCUAUCAGACAGUAUUAUGAUGUUCCAGGUAUCCAGUCUAUCAGACAGUAUUAUGAUGUUCCAGGUAUCCAGUCUAUCAGUCAGUAUUAUUUUAUAAUGUUCCAGGUAUCCAGUCUAUCAGGCAGUAUUAUAUUAUAAUGUUCCAGGUAUCCAGUCUAUCAGACAGUAUUAUAAUGUUCCAGGUAUCCAGUCUAUCAGACAGUAUUAUGAUGUUCCAGGUAUCCAGUCUAUCAGACAGUAUUAUAAUGUUCCAGGUAUCCAGUCUAUCAGACAGUAUUAUGAUGUUCCAGGUAUCCAGUCUAUCAGACAGUAUUAUGAUGUUCCAGGUAUCCAGUCUAUCAGACAGUAUUAUAUUAUAAUGUUCCAGGUAUCCAGUCUAUCAGACAGUAUUAUGAUGUUCCAGGUAUCCAGUCUAUCAGUCAGUAUUAUAUUAUAAUGUUCCAGGUAUCCAGUCUAUCAGACAGUAUUAUGUUCCAGGUAUCUAGUCUAUCAGUCAGUAUUAUAUUAUCAUGUUCCAGGUAUCCAGUCUAUCAGACAGUAUUAUAAUGUUCCAGGUAUCCAGUCUAUCAGACAGUAUUAUAAUGUUCCAGGUAUCCAGUCUAUCAGACAGUAUUAUAAUAUUCCAGGUAUCCAGUCUAUCAGACAGUAUUAUGAUGUUCCAGGUAUCCAGUCUAUCAGACAGUAUUAUAAUGUUCCAGGUAUCCAGUCUAUCAGACAGUAUUAUAAUGUUCCAGGUAUCCAGUCUAUCAGACAGUAUUAUAAUGUUCCAGGUAUCCAGUCUAUCAGUCAGUAUUAUAUUAUAAUGUUCCAGGUAUCCAGUCUAUCAGUCAGUAUUAUAUUAUAAUGUUCCAGGUAUCCAGUCUAUCAGACAGUAUAGUAUUGGGGACUCCAGUUCGUGGUAACAGACUCCACCUGUCCUCUCUGCUGGUCAACCUCACUCCUGAGACUUACACCUGGAGUCGCCUCAAAGCUGCCCUCUCCCUACACAGGAAGACCAAAGCGUUCCUGACUCCGAAGAGGCCUCUCUACCUGCUGUCCUCUCCUGGGGCGGAGCUAGGGGCGGAGCUAGGGGUGGGGCUAGGGGCGGAGCUAGGUGAUGUCAGUCAAAAACUGUUCUCCACACCCCGCUGCACGCCCCGCCCACCAAACCUCCGCUCUUUGA